rnacentral:rRNA from 1 species
GGAGUUAGCCGGUGCUUCUUCUGUGAGUGAUGUCCUUCCUGCCGGCUAUUAACCCGCAGGCCUUCUUCCUCACUGAAAGUGCUUUACAACCCGAAGGCCUUCUUCACACACGCGGCAUGGCUGGAUCAGGGUUGCCCCCAUUGUCCAAUAUUCCCCACUGCUGACUCCCGUAGGAGUCUGGGCCGUGUCUCAGUCCCAGUGUGGCUGAUCAUCCUCUCAGACCAGCUACGGAUCGUCGCCUUGGUGAGCCGUUACCUCACCAACCAGCUAAUCCGACAUAGGCUCAUCCGAUAGCGCGAGGCCCGAAGGUCCCCCGCUUUCCCCCGUAGGGCGUAUGCGGUAUUAGCCUGGGUUUCCCCAGGUUAUCCCCCACUACCGGGCAGAUUCCUAUGCAUUACUCACCCGUCCGCCGCUCGCCACCAGGGAGCAAGCUCCCCGUGCUGCCGCUCGACUUGCAUGUGUUAGGCCUGCCGCCAGCGUUCAAUCUGAGCCAGAAUCGAACCCUGA